rnacentral:rRNA from 1 species
AAUCAACGCUGGCGGCGUGCCUAACACAUGCAAGUCGAACGAGAAAGUGGAGCAAUCCAUGAGUACAGUGGCGACCGGGUGAGUAACACGUGAUCAACCUACCCUCGAGUGGGGAAUAACUCCGGGAAACCGGAGCUAAUACCGCAUAAAAUCUUCGGUCCACAUGAACUGAUGAUCAAAGGAGUAAUUCGCUUGAGGAGGGGGUCGCGGCUGAUUAGCUAGUUGGUAGGGUAAUGGCCUACCAAGGCUGAGAUCGGUAUCCGGCCUGAGAGGGCGCACGGACACACUGGAACUGAAACACGGUCCAGACUCCUACGGGAGGCAGCAGUGGGGAAUUUUGCGCAAUGGGGGAAACCCUGACGCAGCAACGCCGCGUGGAGGAUGAAGUCCCUUGGGACGUAAACUCCUUUCGACCGGGAAGAUACU